rnacentral:rRNA from 1 species
UACGUAGGGUGCAGGCGUUAAUCGGAAUUACUGGGCGUAAAGCGUGCGCAGGCGGUUUCUUAAGUCAGAUGUUAAAGCCCCGGGCUUAACCUGGGAACUGCGUUUGAAACUGGGAGACUUGAGUGUGGCAGAGGGGGGUGGAAUUCCACGUGUAGCAGUGAAAUGCGUAGAUAUCAGGAGGAACACCCGUGGCGAAAGCGGCUCUCUGGGACGGUACUGACGCUGAGACGCGAAAGCGUGGGGAGCAAACAGG